rnacentral:lncRNA from 1 species
CUAUUUCCUCCAUAGUUAGCCCACAAAUCAUCCCGUCUGUCACUACACCACCUCCACCUGAUGUGCCGGCUGUUUCAGAACUAGUGUUGCCCCAGUUAAGAAAAACACUGUCAAGGUUUUGAGGCUGCACUGCACUGGUCUGACCAGCAGAAGCAUCUCCACGCAUUCCAUGUUGUACUGCUGGUGGUAGGUUGGACGACAAUGAUGCACUUACCAUGCUUCCACUUGCUAUAACUCCACCACUACCCUCAUUACCAUUACCAUAAUUAUUAUCACUAGAAUUACCGUGAGGAUAACCAUAAGAUUUAUUAUUGCCUUUACCAUAAUGAUGAUCAUAAUCAUUAGCACUGAGAGUAGCAUAAUGAUGAUCAUCACCAUUUAUGUCGCCAAUGCCAUUAGCAUGAUGAUAACCAUGACCAUAAGUAGCACCUGCACCAAGAUUAGUUGAGUGGUUCCCAUUUCCAAGAAUGCCAUAGUCAACUUGUGAUGCACCACCGCUUAGCCAACUGGCUUGGUUAAUAUCUCUUGCUCCUUGGGACCUCAUAUGGAAUCUGUAACUUCCCUCACUUUCUUGAGAUUCCGAAUAGUUCUUGGAAGUAUUAUUAGAAUGUGGUGGCCUAGAGCUUGGCAUGGUUGAUAGCCCACCCUUACGACAGUCGCUUCUGUAUUUCUGAAAUUUCAAAUAUUGUAAAAACAUCAAUAAAUGGGUGCUUGAUUACUAGGGUACCAUUUCUGAAAAUUUAUGUCAUGAUCAUAUAAAUUUGAUCUGCUGGUUGGUUUCAGAUUAAAGAAACAUCAACUAGGUAGUCUAAAUCUUACCUGUAGAUGGCUACUGACUUGAGCUGUAGUUACAUAUAUACCGUCAAUCUCCAAAAAUUCUCUUAUAUUGUUUGGCGUGUCGUCUGUAUUAGAAAAGGAAAAAAUAUAAGUGGCUAGAGCUUAGAAAGAUAGAAAAAUCACAAAAAAUGAGCUUUAUUUAUUUCAGGUCUAUCAUACUAAGUUCGCCCUAAAAAUUCCCUUGACUAUACAUACCAAUUGUAAUAAGAAAGCAUAUAAAUGAUCAGAGUUGGGCAACUAAUUCAAAUAAGGCAUGCAACGAGUAUUACAUAAGUGAAGGGAUCAUUGUUUUAAAUAGCACGCUUUCUCAACGCUAUAACGACACUAUAUCAUUUGGUGGGGCAUCACGCUAAGCCAUUUAGCACUAUUUAGCUCAUUUAGCGCGCUAUACCUCAAUUUUUUAUAAUAAAAUUAAAAUAUUAAAAUUUGCAAUAGGACAGGGAUAACUGAAAUCUUUCAGCAACAUACAAGCGUUCAUAAAAUCACCAUAUCAUUUCGUUUAUAAUGUGAUACAGAGAGGUACAUAUGCAUGUUAUGUGUUAUCAUAUUUAUCUAUAUUUGUCCAAAUACAGGCUUCAAAAAUGACAAAGAUAUAGAAGCAAUGAAUUUGUUAUGCAUUAAUGGACUUGCAAAUGAUAAGUUAUACAUGGGGAAAAAAGAAAACCUUUUUUGUUAAAAAAAUGAAUAAAUCCUGUCAAAUAUGUGAUAAUUUAGCUUGCGUAUACACGGGGGGUAAUUAAAGGGUCAAAAUGUUCUACAUGAACUAGACUUAUUUUGUAUUUGAGUAAACUGAAUUGCCUAGGUGUGUUUGUGAUACAAAUGUAUAGCUAAUUAGCUACAAUGUUUUUGGACAUUCUCUCUCUAUCUACCCCUUUCCCUCCAUCUCCCCCCCUCUCCUCCAUUACAAUAGCUAUGUGCAAAAUCCAUUUGCAAGCAUAAACCCCAAACGAAGUUAUCCACUCUAAAUCUCUGUCAAACACACACAAUUACAACAUUUUUGCUAACUCCAUUGUGCGUCCACUACCCCCAUGUGAACCAACAUGUAAUUUGUAGUGCUACAAUCAAUGAUUUUCCAUAUUUGGGGAUGGCACCUCUCAAAUGCAAUUUGCCUGGAUGGCUGACGCCAGCCUGUCAAAUCAUUUUAAACGGAGCCACAUAUGUGUUUAGUUGUGGUCUAGAAGGACGAACACAUAUGGUAACAAGACUGAAGAAAUUGGUGUCUUACAACCCUACUUAUAUUUAAAAAAUGGUUGAUCUUAAAGAUGUAUCUAUUUUUGGGUGAGAGGGCUUUCAACCAUUCUAGUCUUGGUACUCAAAUAUGGUAUAAAUUAUGUGUUCGCCACUCAUUCCUCAGUAUCUAGAAAUCAGAGGAUAGAUAUUGCAAUCUCGACUCCCUUUUCAAUGAAAAAAGUAGGAAAACUAGGGCAAUUUCCCAAGCUCACCCAUGGGGAUUCAUUGCCAUUGUCGACCUAGGUGAGGAAGAGGACGUAGAAUCUUUUUAUGAGCAACUGAACUGGCAUAGGAAACACGAGAGGCUUUUUGAAGCCUACAUACCAUCACACGAUCUCCAUGACCCAUGGUUCAACGGCGUGCCUCCUAAAGUAUCGCAUAUGGGAACCUUUAGGAUUUGUCGAAACCAAUGCAUAGUGCUUGCUAGAUGAAUCUACUUGCGAUAUUAGACGUAGUUCAAAGGUCGAAUCAUGGUUGUCAUGAACAAAGGACAAAGUUCAUAACAAUUCUUGCUCAAUUCUCACCAUCGGUACAUCUUCAAGCUGUAUCUAUUUUAGAAGAGAUUGCAUUGAACUAAUGGUGCGUCAUGUUUUAACCAAAACAUGGUAGAAUUUUGAGUGUUUGUAUGUAAACAUUCUCUAUGGCAGACAUGGAGGAUAGACACUGGAGACUCCGCUCCCAUGGAAAUGAAGAAAGUAUUAUAUAUAGGGUAGCUGCCUUGGCUCACAUCAAGGGUAUCACUCGAAUUGUUGACUUAGGCAAGGAUUGGCACUUUAAGAAGGUCUAGAAUGGCAUGUAAACUAGAACAUAGAUGACUUCCCAAUAUAAGUGAACCAUGAUAUGAUAUCACGUGCCCCUGCCUUUAUUCGAUGUAAUGCUAUCUGCCACCUCUCAUGCACAAACUGUUGGAGCAUGCAGAAGCCAACAAGUUGAGUACUUUUAGAAAAACCUCCUCAUGAGAUUUGACAUGUCCCAAAUGCAGGAACAUAGGGGUAAAAUGAUAUAAGGGAAAAGUUCAGAUCAUCUAUGUAUACAUUCUUAUAAAUAGAAGAUCUUAACAAGACAUCCAUUUCUUGUGAAUAAUAGUAUAUUAUUGAUAACGCAUGGUACCACAUACACAUAAUAUAUAACUGAGCUUACUCUAACCAACACCUUUUGUGGAAAAGUUGGAUGAAAUAUUAUGAAGCCUCAAUGGGUUGUCAAUGAACAAAGUGGUGCAACUAAGGAAGCUUCCUUUUCUCACUCGAAGCGUGUCACUUGUAUUGUCGAUAUAGGUGAUGAAGAGGUCGUAGAUGCUUUAAAAGUUGUCAGACUAGCAUAAUUGUGGUAACAUGGGUAACCACAUUUAGUGUUCUAGGACUUUAUUUCACAUACUGAGCUCCAUUUUUCUCAUGCAUGAUACAUGCCUAUUGAGACCAAUGUGUUAAACUUUUAAAUUUCACUAAGUAAUAUACAAUAAGGUCGUGCCUCACAAUGUUGCAGAAUUAUUUUGUAUGUAUUCUCCAUGAUCUAUAUGUCAUUUUAUUGUUGAUGUCCAUGCACAAAAAAACUAUGAAUGGCAAUUAUGUCACUACGUAUUGACUUACCGUAGAAAACAUUAUUUUACUUGGUAAGCUUGUAAGGCGUGGACAUUUGAGACAUCUCAAGGAAAGUAGGUGAGAAAAAUUGUCAAAACUGGAAAAGGGGGUGGACUGGGAUGAUGGAAUAAACAAACAUAAGAAAAAACCUUAUGUAUUAUUCAAGUAGGGUAGGUUAAUCUAUUUGUAUGUUUACUCAAAGUUUUGACAUAGGAAUGUAUGAUAAUGGGAUAACGGUAAGAGGUGUAUAUUCUUAUUGAUAUGUUCUAGCUAUAUUAUUAGCACCUCAUUGUACCACCCAAAUAUGGUAGGAAGUUCAUAUUCAUUACAUAGUGAUUGCCUUGGCAAGGUGGGGGGCAGAUAGUAGAGGUUUGAUAGAGACUUGUCAAUGAGGAAAGCCAGGAUAAUCAAGUCAACUACCCCCAGCUUACCCCAAGUGUGUCAUUGCAAUUGUUGUAGGUGGUAGACACUUCCAUAAGUUACCGAUCUAGCAUAGCCUUGGCAACAUUAGGGACAUAAUGAUAUUUGAAGACCAUUGGAUUGUAUACUCGCACAUUUUAGUCUUUUAUUUGAUGUAACUUGGUCAUCGUCUCCCAUGUGUGAGCCUCCUUGUCGAAGCUAGUGAGUGAAUGUUUUUAGUGAAGCCAAAUUGUCUAUUUAUUCAUAGUUUGACCAUGGGAAUGUAGAUGAAAUGUGAUAGAUAGAGAAAAUUUUUAGCAAUUUUUUGAUAUUCCAAUUGAUGGUGGAGUUGGAAUAAGUUAUACUAUUAUUUCUGAAUGUACUUGAUUAGUAGUAUAAUGAAAGUGCAUUCAUGCGAAAAGUUUUCCAUGAUAAAGCCAAAUGAUAGAUAUUGGAUUAUUAAAUUCCAUUGCAAUGAACAUACUAGGACAAGAGUGGGAUGUUGUGUAGGCUUGCCCUGAGGAGAUCAAGCCAAUGUUGACUUAGGUGAGUACAAGAUCAUAGUAACUUUUAGAAGCUACGGAACAUGAGUAAUUAACCAUCACACACUAGUAAUAUCUUGAGAUAUAUGAACCUAAACAUGUAUGACAUAAUGAGCUACAAGCUUUCCUCGAUGGACUGACACCUAUUGACUCCCCUGCAUGAACCAUUUUGGGCCAUGCUGAUUGUAACACGUCGAAUACUUUUGGAGGGAGCUUCUUGUGUUGGUAGAAUGGGCCUAUGAGUGUGGAUAUAUGGGAAACUAGAUUAAGGGUGAAAGUUCAUAUAUGAUAGUAGUGUACUCCAACUGAAGGUGUAUCCUUAAGAGAUAUCUAUUUUAGGUGAGUAUGUACUAGACUUCUGGUACCUUAUCGUACCAUCCAAAAUAUGGUAGAAUACUAUGUGUAUUUUGAAAUGAUGGAUCCAUGCUGAAUAAAUAUAUUGAAUCCUUUGAAACUAAAUUAUGUGUAUAGAAAUGGUCUAAAAGUAGAAUCAUAUGGGCUACAAGACUUUGGGAGGAGUAUUCAUAACAAUGGUACAUCUAUGAAUACAAGACAGAUCUUGAAGACAUAUCUGUAUUAGCUAUUGAAAGUUGGUACCUCGUGGCACCACCAAAAGGUGGUAAGAAAACUCAUGUUAACUGUUAACAAACUAAUAGUCGCCCAACAAAAGUAUAGAGAGUCAAACUGAACACGUCUGCCACUAUAUAGAAUUUCCCAUGUCCCUUCAUAUACUCCUUAUGUGUGUGAGCCAAACUCAACGGUAUCACCAUAGAAUCAAUAACCGCCUUUGAGAUGUGCUAAUGGAGCUAACUCUUUCCCAGGUUCCACCAUGGCAUGGUUCAUUGCUGCUGACACAUGAACUUGUUCUACUCAUGAUACUAUUGGGCAUGGGUCUGAGUGGAAGGAAUCCCAACACCAAGCAUUGACAUUGGUCUCUGUGCUCACUGAUCUCGUAAUAUUGGAGUCGAGAGGCACUGCCGCACGGUGUGAUCGUGUUCAAAUUUAUUGUUCCCAUAUUACCUUCAAGAACAUCUUUGUGCUUUUGUGCAAGAUCAAGUCUAUCCAACGGCGAUAUUCAUUGCAUUGUGAUGAGUUUCUUGUUCUAGGUGUGGUCUCUUGCAUCAUCUUUGAUCUUCGAUCUUCGAUGAUACAUACAAAGCACCUCCCUGCACCACAUGUGAUUGUUCAUGUGGUGGUGGCUGCCGUGCUCAUCGUCUAGGAAAUGAUUUGUCAUGGACAAUCUCGGCCCUCCUUAAUUUUAUCCAUAUGUAAAGUUGUAACAUCUGCAUGAUUUUAUUAUGAGAUUUUUUUACCAUACCCCUACUGCUAGGAAUAGAGUGAUAUACAUCUAAUCCCAUCAUUGAUUUAUUAGGGCAAUAUAGAACUUCCCUAUUUUUCAUAGAAAACAAAUUUCUUUGUUUGUAAGGGCCUAAUGGGAAAUAUUUCAUCCUAUAUUGUACAUACAUGGACAAAACCUCAAUCUCCUCUUUUCAUCCUCUUCAUGCUGGUUUGCUCUAUUCAUUUAGCUCCCACUGUGCUCGUCUAGCAUCUAGCCCCCCCCCCUCAAUGUUGCACGUCUGUGAUCUAGUCAAUGUCAUAGGCUGGCACAUCCAUGACCUCGCAACCGUUUGCAAGUUCAUGACCUUGUUAUUGAUCAGGGGUUCAAUUAUCUAAGCCCUAGCUGUAUUAUUGCAACGUAGAAAAUAUGUGGCAAUAAAAAUUUCUUCCAGGUGACAGCUGCCACAACUACCAAGCCAUCGCUGAAUUUGAAGCAUGCAUUAAUAUACAACUAAAAUUUUGAAUUUGAAUUGAACAUAGCCAAUCUACAAAGGGGAAUUUCCAAUGUAUAAUUCUCCAAAAAUUUGAUCAUAUGCUUAUUAACAAGCCAAUGGAUGAAUCGAACUUACGAUCAUAGAUAUCGUCGUUCGGCUUGUCGCUUGUUAUGUUGAUGCAGUUGUAGCAGGUCCUUUGCAGCAGCCACUUAGCAGCUCCACUGAAGUCACCACCAAACAGGCCAUUGGGCACCAAGAGUGGUGAAAGCACUCUGAACCACAUCAUGGCGGUCAUGACUCCCUUGGCACAUGUCAUGUACGUCGUCUCCAUGUGUUAUUGCGAGAUGAGAUACUUUCUGUAUAGCCUCCUCCUUGACGAUGAUGAGCUCCUCAUCUAUGGAAAAGAGGCAACCCACUAUCAAAACCUAAGAAGAAGUAGAAUGGGUGUGUCAGCUCGAUCAGCUAGCGGGCCAAAAACUAGGAUAUUCCCAAACUGUGCUAAAAUUACAUAUACUGCUUGCCACGAAUGAGCAGUGUUGUCUCUACUUCUAACCCAACUAUUCCACCAAUAUACAUCACAUUGGGAAGUUUGAUCUCCAUGGUUGAAUGGCAUAUAUUAAUUAUAGGGCACCAUAAAAGAGCACUGUAUUGUAAGGUCACAACAUAUGUAUCCUGACCAGUGACCUCCUGAAGGAGAUUUCAAGGGUCUGGUGUUGUAACGCCUUUGAAGUAAUAUAUUAAGAUUGGAAUCCUUUCUACCUUGUGAUUGUCUUGAAAAACUAGUCUCUUGUGGCUUGCAAGAAGAGAUGACUAACAUAUAUAAUUAGACAUGCCUUGUUUGAGAAUUAGAGUAGUUCAUAUAAAUAAUUGAAUUUUUAACCUAACAGAAGAUUUUCGAUAUGAUUAUUAUUCGAAAGGUCACUAGGGGGAAAGCCCAAAUGAACAUUUUCAUUAGCCGUAAUCAUGGCAGAAUAUCAGAGCUACACAGUUUUAGGCCAUUGACAAGCAGGCAACAACCAAGGAAAUGAAAGGUGCACCAGGGCAAGGCAGCGAAGCCCAACACCCAAAAUUCUAAGAUCGAUUAAUAGAUCAUAAGUGAGUGUCACCACAGACAAAAUAGGACAUUAAUGUCAAUUUUUCCCAUAAUAAUAGAAAAGGAGAGCAUGCUGGUUGCGAACAUCUAGGCAUUCUAGAUCUCCAAAAUGUUCCUGAGGAUGGCAAGGCAGACUAUGGGGUAUAGGCGAGGGUGAUCCGUGAGGUCGAGGGUGCUGAUAAGGCACACCACCUCCAGCAUGGUGGCAAUAGGCACAUUCAAUGCCCAAAUGGCAUGGACGUGGAGGCAUGCCUGAAGCAGGUGCUUCAAGGUUUCUUCACCACAACAAAAGACAUAUGCUACAGUGCAAAUGUUAUGGCGGUGGUGGAGAUGGGUAGUUGCUGAUGAUGGAAGAACCAAAGGAAUAAUUUACAUUUAUAGGGGUGUAGCUAUGCUAGAUCAUGGGGGGCGAUGGUGUCCACAACAUGCAUCGCCAUGCUUAAUUAAUACACCAUAUGUGCCAUGAAUGAGGCAUCGGAGAGGUGCAUGAUGCGAUGGUUUGACACCUUAGAUGAGAGUGAUAUCUUCCCCAACUCAUCACACAGGUUGCCAAUCUCGAUGUGGAUGACCGCAGAGAGACUAGUUAGUCGGUGGUCUUCAAUGCACAAAAGGAUAGACACAAUGCAUGCUUUGGGGCCGAUGAAGUGCGUGUAGAGAACGGGGAAGCAAGACUCAAGUCUCUUCACCCCACCAGAAAGCAAUGUGCUUCAUGUCUCCACGGCUUGUUGAUCUCCAUCCAGACGAUAUUGCACUUGGCACUAGGUACACUGGUGACAUGGUCCUAGAAAAUCGAUUGCUAUCUCUUCAUAGAGGCGGCAUGCGCUUCAAUAAGCUAUAGAGACCCAUGGUGUAGGUAGGUAGGGCAGUGAGGAUGGCUUCGACAAAAUUACCCUUGCCAACUGAGGAAAGCGGUGUGCCACACAACCUAGCAAGCCCUUUGUGUACAAGCGAAAUGGGAGGGAUCAGGUCGAUGAUAUGGGCUUGUGGAUGGAGAGCGGAGGCCCAAGUACUAUUGCGGGAAGCUGGACACCAGACAACCAAACACCGAGUCCAGUUUUUCGGCAAUCUCUAAUGCGACAUUGAGAGGAAUGAACGUGCACUUGUAAAAGUUGAGGGUGAGGCCGGUGAUUGUCGCAAAGAUGUCAUCCAAAUAUAGCGGCACUGGGCACGACAAUAAGGGGACGAGGGGGUGUUUGGUGGACAUCGUUGGCACCAAUGGUGAGGACGAGGAACUGGAGAACAUACACAACUAGGAUGAAGAGUUAGGGGACAAGGGAUCCCUUAAUGGAGCCCAUUUCGGUAGUGAUGCAAUUGUUGGGGAUACCAUUGAUGAUGACUACAGACUGACUUGACGUGUUGUGGUCCUAAAUCCACUUUCGCCCGAGGGAAGGGAAACCACUAUUGCCACCUAAGACAUGGAAUCUAAUGCUGCUUGAAGUGAAGCUUGAGCACCACCGCCGGCACACUGUACUUACUGAAGCAUUGCACGAGCUUCACGAGGACGAUGGAAUUUUCAAAGAUCCAUCGCCCAUGGAGAAAGCAUGGCUGCUCAAAAUGCACAAGGAAAGGAAUGUACGGCUUUUGGUGAGACAUCAUGACUCACGACAACAUCUUUGGAUGGGGGAGGGCAGUUUUGCAAUGAGAUGCGACAAAUAUUUGUCAGAGAAGUGGGAGUGUCCACCUUGAGCAGGAGGGCAAUGAAGGAUAUGUUGAUGUCGGAUAAUCAGCCUCCUGUUUGUAGAACAAUUUUGUGAGAGCAGUACGAUUGAGGAGAAGUGACCAUAGGCAUGCUUGAGGAAAAUCAGACAAUACCCAUUAGGGCUUGGAGUAGUGUCAGGCUUCAUUCCAAAGACAACUGCCUUGAGCUCGGAUGCAGAGAGCGGAUACACAAGCAACACCGCCUGGAAGGCAUCCAAGAGUGUGUGUGUCAUGAGGAGUUGGAGGUUAAUGUUGCCGUGAACCGAUAUCUUCGUGCCCGGGAGCGGAUGGUAGAAGUCGUGCAUUUCGUUUCGCGAUGGGCGCGGUGCUUGACCCCAUUAAGAUUGAGGCACGUGAUCUACUUGUUGCAGAAUUGGGUUGACACACGGCCAUGGAAUAAGUUGAAGUCCCAUCUCCGAGUUUGCAAAAGCAUAUUUUGCUCCUAUACCACCAAAAUUCCACACAACAGUGUUCAUGGGGGGCAAGGGAGUGUUUCACGAGGGAGAGUGCAAGAGGAAUUUAGGGUUAGGGAGACCAUCUUUCUCCUUUAGGUGAUCGUGGAAAAGGGUUGUGAUGUGACAGUUCUUGACGAUGACAUUGCGGUAUUUGAGCUUCUUUGAAAAAUCUUAAGCCCACUCUAGAUCCGCUUCAGAUGCAACCCGAGACAAUGGGUCGGCUAUAGGUCAAGGGCGCUACCGAAGUGGCAACCACAUGGAAAACAAGGUACCCAACCCAUUUCCCACUAAACCAGAAGAUGGUAGCACAUGGAACCGUCGUAGUAGUGAUGAUGACGAUAGGGAUGUGCCCGAAGGCGUGAGAGGGGAUGCAGGUGACUACAGAGUCCAGCAUGAUCGAGCACCCAUCGUUGUUCACAAGGAACGUAUCCAUCUUGACGUGUGUGGGGGGGAGGGGGGGUCAAGAUUUCAUCAAGCUAGACACGGUCGAGGAGAGGUAGCUCGAAUAAAGUAGCAGCGUCGAUGUAGUCAUUGAAGAGGAGGGCGUUGGUGGGCAUUGAAGUUGUCUUCUUUGUCGGAUCACGGGUUUCAGCAAACCCUUGAGGUUCGAACUCUGGGGUGCGCGCGAAGUUCUUUCCCUCCGACCGAUCUACGCCCUAGCUCGCUAAGGUCUCGCGGACGAACUUGACGCACUCGCAACACAAAGACACAAGGUUUAUACUGGUUCGGGCCACCGAUGUGGUGUAAUACCCCUGUUCAAGAAUUCAUCUGAUUAACCAGUUAACUUGCCGAUUAAUCCCUACUCGUAGGGUCACCGAGUAGCCGAUAAACUGAAAAAUCGCCCGAUUAAUUGAUUAAAUGGCCGAUUAACUUGCCGAUUCACCGAUUAAUCCCCUACUCGCCAGCCAAUCGAGCAGCUACCAGUUAACGAUUUCCUCAACAAUGUGUAAUGCCCUACUCCAGUGUGGUGGUGGUGGAUCACCUCUUGGGCUGAUGAUGAACCAAACAAGGGGAAGAACAGCCUCCUAAGGUUGAGGUGUUCUUGUGCUUGGUGUGCCAAGGGUUGGCCUUUUAUCAGAUCCUAUCUCCUUUGAUAUCUCUCUCUCCCUUCGAUCCCUCUCUCUAGGUGGUGGCUAGUCCUACUUAUAUAGGCCAUGGUCCUCUCCCCAAAUAUUAGUGGGAAGGGAGCCAACAACGGCGGCCAAUUUGAAAGGGGACAACUAGUACAAGCUGUCCUGACAAAAGGUGGUCUUCGCCUGCCAAAGGCUCUGGUGGUGACGCCGUGCUGGGCUCCAUGGUGACCUUCAUCCUGCCGUCCUUCUGGUCUUGGUCUUGUUGCACCGAUAUGGAAACCUUUUGCCUGAUGCCUCGGUACUCCGCGCCUACGCUUGCCUCCUUAGCACCAAAGAGGAAACAAGGACACUGCGCGCUGGCGCCCGCCUGGUGUCGAUCGUCAUGGCUCACGCCACGAGAGCCUCGCGAGGUUCGCCCCGCCUUGAUAUCUCCGCUCCUCACGAGGCAGCCUGGUGAGGCCGCUCCUAAGGAGGUCUUGGGACGUCCGCCUCGCGAGGCUUAGCCCCUCGUGAGGGUCUUGAAUGACUUGUUGAUGAUGAUGGGCCGUACAGACCUGCCAGCACAGCCACGCCAUGGGCCGCAGGCAAGCAAGUCUGGGGACCCCCAUUCCCAGAACGCCGACAAUCUUUCCGCACUUCAGCGUCACAAACAAAGUUAAAAUUGCCCACCGAGGCCCACAGCUGCCGAUGUGUUGCCCAUAGCAGCAAUAUUCUCUAAAAACACUCCUCUCUCUUGCCCAUUGCAUGGGCCGUAUGAGUUGGUGAUGGAGAAACAAACCCUAGAUGUGGGGCAGGAAAAAGGCGUCGAGAUGAACCCAGGCCUUUAGUUGACAAAACUAGGCCGAAGGCCGGAUCGUUCCAGGUGGCGUCGACGCUAGCAUGGCCUGGACCACAACAAAACCAGGCACCAUGUGAUCUCCCAGCAUAGCUCGCUUGGCAUGGCGUGGUGCGGUAGUGGAGAGGAAGUAGCACCAUCCAGGUCGGGGGAGGUUGGGAGCGGGGGUUGUACGGAGACUCGGGGAUGGGAAAGACAUGCAUGUUUAGGAAAACACGAAGGUCGGAACCUUGCAGGACGCCCUCCUCUGCCCAGAGCAACUAUGACGAAUGUAGAAAAUGGGAUCUCGGCAAUCUUUGACACGGUGGCUUAAGUAGAGGGAGUGGCCCUAGGGGCUAGAGAGCUCCGCUUGGUGAUAUGCUUUGGGAGAGGAGCGAGGCCCUUUAGUGGAGAUGGUUAGGGCUGGGAAGAGGCAAUCUAUGCGUAAGUGAGGGAGAUGUUCUUUUAUAUAGUGGAGGCAACAAACAUGCUAACCGAGGCUGGAGCAUGCGGUGCACAUGAGGAGGCGAGGUGUCAAGUGGUGGGGUGGAUGAAUCACAUGGGCUAGGGGCAGGGGCUAGGAAUGUGAGGGGGAGCGACCAUAUUAAUGUAGAUGAGACAAGAUGGGGUAGGUCACGGUAGUUGUCUCUCCUAGUCGCUACAACACUCAAGUGUUGGUGGUCCCAGGCAGCAGUGGGAACCAGAGCAACACUGCAGCCGUUGCCAAGGAACUUCCCAACUGCCAUAGACCCAGGAGCAAACGGCCCACUCCUGGAAGUGGAGCCCAAUCCCUAUGGCAGUAGUGCAGUUUGAACAGGGGAUGCGCAAUGGUCAAGGACGAGUGGAAGUGGAGGAGGCUACGACCAUGGUGUAGAUCAUUGUGGGAGAUAAUGAAUUGGCCACCGUGGGGCUCGCAAUAGCUUUUUGGAAGACAAAUCCAACACAAGUAGUCAUGAAAAUCGAUGCGAGGUAAGCCAAUCCAGAAUGUCAAUGCACCGAUGACCAAGAUGAGGUUGCGGUAGUCAAAGCAGGGGAAGGGAAAGGGCUACAGCACAACCGGGAUGUCAAAACAAAUUGGCCAUCGAGGGAGAGUAGAUGCUCCCGGACGAACCCCUAGAUGGUAGGUGCUGACCGGGACGGUGAGCACAAGUUGCUGGUCAAACGACUAGACGUGGACAACCAAGGAGGCCAGGAAUGGGUGGUGAAGCCAAUGUGAGUGGACUGGGGGAUGUGGUGAGGGCCCGGGGAGCAAGGGGAGCGCCGAGAGAGCGCACAUGCGGCGGGAGUGGAAGGGGGAGGGGGAUGACGGGGUGUCACAACCCAAGUCUACAGAGCUACCUAAACAUAACCAUCCACUCCUCCAAUAUACAUAUAUCAUCGAUUCAAUGAGUUACCACGCUACACCUACUAAUGAAAUAAUUAUUCUCAUCCAACCAAGCCAAAAUAUAUUCGAACCUACAAUCCCAUACUACUCAUAUGCAUCACAUGCAUAGAAGCUAUCUUAUAUAUACAGCUUGCAGAAAAGAGAACACUCUCGAGCUACUCGUGACCCUAUCACCUGGUCCCCACCCCAAGAGAGAUCACUCAUAUGUCAGCAAGUUUGGCCAUAUAUGUCUAUCUAGUAGUACCACACUAGUAGAACACGUAGUGAGCACCCAAUUAUUAAGAAUAAACUAUGUAGUAUGAUGCAUUUAUUAACAACAAAACAGAUAAGUAUGGAGAAAGAAAAGAUGGUCCACAUGUAGCUAUCCUGUAUUUGACCAUGCAUGCAUUUCGUAUGUAUCUCACGCACCUCCUGUUGUCUUUAGCUGGGUGACCGCAUUGACAAACAAUUCAUGCAUCUCUGUAGUCCACUCGACCUUUUUCUUCUUUGUGGUCCCCAGCUGCAGGCCGCCCUCGGAAGCCCCCUUGCCCUUGUUGGAAUCGUUCAGUCCUUGCCCUCUCUUCCUUGGCAUGUCAUCCAGAUGGACGCCUUGGCUGUGGCGAGGGUUAGGGUUCUCCGUGGCUGCGCCGGCGGCUUUGCGCCUCCACCGCACGACUUGCUGCCAGAUGAAGUAUAUCUGCAUGUCACGUAGGGGCUUGUCCAUCAAGUAGCAAGCGCCUUCCUGCAAUCCCCUUUCCCUUGUCUCCAUGGUCUCGUCGCCCGAGAACACUGCACAAAAGCAGCAUGCACAUCUAUCAGAUCUACAAUUUCAUCUAUGAGUAUCAAUAUGUGUAUAUAUAUGCCUACAAACAACCUGGAACAUGGAUAUGUUUGUGGCAUGUGUUUAUUUAUAAAAAAAAAAUAUGUGUGGCAUGUGUGAGGACUUACUAAGGACGACAGGGUAACGUUUCCCGACGCGCUUGACAAGGCCGAAGCCGUCCAUCCCUCGUCCCCGCGUCCGUGCGACGGUCAUGAUGAAGUCGAUCCCAUCCGGGUUCUUCUCCACCUCUUUCAGCGCAUCUGCAGGCGAGGCGCUGGCCGUCACUGCACCGAGGCGGCUGUCGGUCAGAACACAAAGAGCAAACUGAGGCAAGAGAUCCAAUAUUAAUGGACCGGACGACGUACCUUCGUAGCCGCCGCGCCGAAGCAUCUGCGUCAAGGUCUGGAGGCAGACGGGAUCAUCGUCCACAGCAAGGACCUUCAGCCCCUCUGUCCCCAUCAAUUCCGUGGUGGCCAUGUCCUCGUCGCCGUUCGCCAUCGCCGCUGCGCGCUCGGGUCACACGCGCUUCAAACUCUUGCCCGUCAGGGCCGAGCGUUGAGAGCGAGGAGCGUUGUGAGAGUGAGGAGCGUGCUCUCGCCUAGAAAAAGUAGAGCAUUCAGAGCGUGCUGAAACUGAAAGUCGAGGCCCAAAUAAACAGACACGUGUAUGCUCUACAGCAGCACCAGUAUGAAGAGACAAAACUUUACAGCAGCACCAGCAUGAAGAGACAAAACCAUACAGCAGCACCAUGAAUGCUAGCUAGCAUGCACAUCCGUUACAGUCAAACACGUAAAGCAUGCACCCAACCAUCUGUAUUUGUAUCAUUAUGAUUACAUAAUUAAAACGAAAGCUGAAAAGUGUACGUGGUGCAUCCAGAAACACUAAAAUAUCUACACUAUUAAUUUUUUUGUAUUAAUCAGCCAAGAUUUUUUUUUCGGGUGAUCAGCCAAGAUUUUUAAGAGAUACAAAACCUACAUUAACCAUGGUCAGGACAAGUGCCUGCAAGAAAUGGAUUGGCAUACCCCGCUUACCCCCUCAAAAAUAUACUGAAAGGUGAGUUUGUAUUCUCCCGUCCUUUCUUUGAAAAUGUGCUGCAUCUCCAAUCAAACCGGUGCCGUGUGAGAGGACAAGACACGGGGAAUCCUUCAAGUACAGGACCCAUGAUUCCUGAUCAAGAUCACACGAAGCAUGUCCGGUCCGGCGGAUGAUAGACACCCCUAGAAGCACGAACUAGUGAUGUGGGCACAAAACAAUGAGACAAAAACUAUAUCUUCAAGAUGGAAGCACUUUAAGUGUAAAGCACCCAACCGUCUCCAUUAGUAUUAUUAUUACAUACACCUGCAAAAAAGUAUUAUUAUUGCAUAAUUAAAACAUAAGCAAAAGAAGCCACGUGCUUCAUCCACAUACAGUAAAAUAUCUACACUAUUAAUAUCUAUCUAUCUAUCUAUCUAUCUAUCUAUCUAUAUCUAUAUCUAUCUAUCUAUCUAUACCUCUAUCUAUACCUAUACUAAUUACAGACUCCCUAAAAAUUCCCACGUUAAUCAGUAAUUAGGAACCGUUAAUCUCGGUGGGACCGAGUUAUUACGGUUUAGAUCAGCUGAUAUAAUCUCUUCAAUAAAAAAAGAUAUGAGUUUUUUUAGUUCGUAGGACCGUGUUAUUAGGUCUAAGAGUAAUUCAAUUCUAACAAAAGAUUAAGAACAAAAUUUAUCUAUCAGAUCAGCUGGGAGACGUCUGUGGCGAUUAGGAUCAGCUAGGAGACGUCCGUGGCCAUUAGAUUCACUAACAAAGUCUACGUGACCUACCAGCAUACGAAACUACUCUUGCCAAAAAAAAAGAAUCUCCGUAGCCAUACCUACAUCUCCAUGCCUCAUCAUCUCCAUAGUUCCUUGCCCUCAGGCCACGAUAAUCGAGGCAGAGAAGUCGCAGAAGCUAGCAGUCAACCAUAUCCUCCUCCUUAACACCGCCAUCCCCUCCCAUGACGCCGCCGUGAGAUGACGGAAGCAGGACGGUUAUCUGCCUUCCGAUUUAGCAUCUCUACUGCAGCAUAUUUCUUCUUUCCUCUCGUCCGCACCGUGCGCUGUCGGCUCCGGGUAUGGAAUGACGAAUACCCUCACGAUUGCAUGCUUGGUGUCCGAACUGUCCACACUACUGGCUCCGGAUAGAUGAGCUGGGUCGUUCCAGAGGUAUCCGCACUGUCCGCGCUCAUGAUUGCAUGCUUGGUGUUUCUCCUCUUCAUGCCUCAUUGGGGCCGUCUCCUCGAUCUUGCAACGACUGUGUAUUAUGUGAGCAUGAUCAAUUUUCUUGGUCUUAAUUCCUCUAUUAAUUUUGAAAUUUGUAGACAACCGGUUUCCAACUAUUUCUUGGAUGAGUGACAAUCGAACAGCAGUCUGCAGGUGUGUACAGUACCUACCACAUGUUCGGUAAAAUGCCAAAACCACAUUGGUCACACGAACGGGUAAGUGAAUACUCUAUUGUCACUAAUUGAUGAACUUUCUAAAACUUUUCUGAUUUUCUUUAGAAAAUUGAUGAACUGCUUUUCAAACUCAUUGAACUUUUGUCAAAAUCGAUGAUCAUUUUUGCCAAAUUCGUGAACUUCUUUUCAAAUUCCGUGAAGAUUAUUGAGUUAACAUUUUUUUCUAUUUUUGUAUUUUUCAAAAAUCAAUGUUUGAGCGCUCAACUAGUCAACUAUUGACCGAUGAACCAAACGAACAAUCAAUUUUGCGGCAGAGCGCUACUCGCAUUAUUUUGUCGGCCCAUGAAAGGGCAUGCUUGAGCUUUGGUAUCUCUAAAUAGCGCUGAAAACGCACAAUAGUAGCUCCCCUGUUUAACCGCCUGGGCUAUAUACCGCCCUUAUCAAUUCAUAUAGUGCUGGCGAAUAGCAAGGCACCGUUCGCUGCGUGCUGCAAGUUAAUCGAGGUCUGGUUUUCUAUGUUUUUAUUUUGUCUUUUAGCUUGUUAGUUGUUUUUUCAUCAGUUUUCUUUGAAUUUUUUAUUGUGCUUUAGUUUCUUUGUUUUCUUUUGUUUCUUUCUAGUUUUUUUCCUUUACUUCGUUUUUUUCUUUUUUUAUUUCUUUAUUGAUUUUUAUUGUUUUCCUUUUUUUCCAAACAUGCAUUCUUUUCCCUCAAUAUACAAUCUACAGUUUUAGAUCAUGCGUGAAACAUUUUUAUGAUACACUUUGGGCAUUUUUCAAAUAUAUGAUGUACAUUUUUGUUAAUAAUGAACACUUUUUUGAAUACACAGUAACAUUUUUUAACAAUACUCAUUGUAAUUAGUUUAAUGUUGUAAUUAGUUUAAUGUAAGCAAAUGUUUGUUAACCUAUGGGGACAUUUGUUUUACAUUGUAUAAAUACUUUUUAAAAUGUCACAAACAUUUAUUACUGAAUCAUUGGAAUUUUUCUUGAAAAUGCCUAGUACAUUCUUUAUUGGUAUGAAACGUUUUUUCCCGUACGCAAAAGAUUUUAUUUCAAUUGUAUAUUAUUAAAUGUGAGCAAGACAUUUUGAAAACCCAUGAAAAAUAAUUUUAAAUGGGAUGUACAUUUUUCUGAAUGUCCGAAACAUCAUGACUUAUGUGAUUUUUUAAAAUAUAUAUUGAACAAACUUGUAAUAAACAAUGAACAAUUUUUAUAAUAGAUACUAAACAUUUUUGUCAUAUAUGCUGAUCAAUAUUUUAAUACAUGUUGAGCAUUUUUUGUCUAUACAUUGUACAAUAUUUUGAUACAGAAUGCACAUUUUUGUGAUAUAUGCUGAACAACUUUAUGGUACACGAUGAACAUUGUUGUAAUAUAUGCUUAACAAUAUUUAAAUACACAUUAAAUAAUUUUUAAUAUAUACUGAUCAAUUUUAAAGUACACAAUGAACAUUUGUUCAAAGCGUGUUCAAUAUUUUCUUAAUAUAGGGUGAACAUUUCCUGAAAUGUACAAUCAACAUUUUUUGUAUAUAAACACACAAUGAAUUUUGGAUAAUAUAACGGAAAAAGUACUAAAAACCGAAAACAUGGGGCAUCGGGUGCCAAGUUUCAGUGAAGCCGCAUUGAUGCCGCUCAAAAAGAAAAAAAACAGAUAGCGGGCGUUUGAAUAGUAAGUGGACUGGCCCAUUAUCCACUAGCUUUGAUGUUUUUUCUCCAGUCCUUUUCCAGUCUUUUUUUAUUCAGCUAGUUUAAUAUUAAAUACUUUAUAAUUUCUAUUUAAAAAAUCAGGGAUUUCACAAAAUAUUUUUGAAUGACAGAAAUGUUCUUGAACUAAAAUCAUAUUAAGAAAUAUAAAAAAUUUCCAUCCAUUUUAAUAUAAUUUCCACUAAUUAGGAAAAAUCACGAUUUUAAAAUCAAUCGUGAUUUGGUAAAAUAUUUGUGCUUUAAAAAAUGUUCAUGGACAAGAAAAUUUUAAGUGCUUUCUAAUUUUUUUUCUGAAUUCAGAAAUGAUUAGUGAAUUAAAAAAAAAUAUGAAUUUGUAAAGUGAGUCGUGAAUGUUCAUAAAUUUGAAAGUAAUUUAACAAUAUAUUCGCAAAAAAUAAACUUGUUCGCAAUUUCUAAAAAUGUUCACGGAUUUAAGAAAUAUUCAAGAAUUUAAACUCUUGGAAUAUUAAAUGCAUCAAUUACAUAUAAAAAUCAAAUUCCGAACAUUCCAGAAUUCAAAAAAUAUGUGCGAAAUUUAGAAACAUGUAUUUUAAUAUUUUCAUGAAUUUUAAAAACAUAAUGAACUAAAAAAUGUCAUAGAAUUAAAAAACAGGAAUUAAAAAAUAUCGAUGAUUUAGAAAAUAUUUGAAGAUGUCCAUGAAUUUAAAAAGUGAAAAUGGAAAACAAGAAAUAAAGAAAAGAUAAUAAAAUACCAGAAAGAAAAAGAAAGAAAUUACAAAAAAUGAAAUGAAUAACCAGUCAACAAAUAACCAAUGAAAACACAUAGCUAAACAAAGCAAAACUAUGCCGGCCCAAUACCAUGUGUGCGCUUAGAUGAAGCCGCUGUUUUGUCUCUAACUAGCGACGUAGGUGUAAAAUAGGAAUCGCCUUAUCCUUCAGUGCACGAAAUAUGAAAGGCCAGAUCAUCUAUGGAUAGAUAUGACAAGUUAAAUAUCGUUCAUUUUUGGCAUGUUACACACUUUACGCACCCUCCAGCACUUGUAUCAAAAUAGAGUGUGAUGGCCAAGGGGUUUAUAGGUCUUCUACCAUGGCCGCCUUGAUUGCAGCCUGCUACAAGCCACUUGGCAUGAGUGACUUCUGUUUGCACUCGGCUUCCUCAUUGUAUUCCUUCACCAAACGGGACAUCCAAUGUUUAAUAUGAUCCUCCCAUGCAUAGUUCGAACCCAACCCUAGAGAGACCGAAGCUCAAAAUCCAGGGAAUCAAGAACCUUAGUGGUAUAUGAGUUCCACCUUAAGGUUAAUGAGACUAUUCUCGAUGAGACAUGGAAACAACUCAUCUAGCACACACCUAUUAUCUUCCGUCCCACGAUUCUCAACCUAUAAAAGAUGGACCAGACCAGGCUACAUCAUCAUAUCUUGUACAACUAUGUAACUUAUACAAGUAGAGGUAUAUACAAUUUGUCAACAACUGCCCAUUGUACGGGGGUGCUAGUGGUAGCAAAGCUGCAGAGGGGAGGGUAGUAGGCUAGACAAAGUGUAGUCAUCGUUGCACCCAAAAUUGUAUGCUAAUUGAGCACUUAACCAAUCCACUUAUGUGAAUCAUUACAAACUGAGAAACCCUUUUCUGUGUUUUGCGGGUCAUCGCAAAAUGAGAACUCCGUCCAUGAAUUUUCCUUGUACCCAAAAUUGUGUAACUAGCUAGCUACUUCUUUCUUUCAAUUUUGCUCGGGUCAUCCCUUGCAGGGCAAGGCGUGACUUCUUAGAGACGUUUAAAGUUCCAGUUGAUGCCACCAUCACAUUCCAGUGCACCCUCCUGAAGAUGCCGACGGCCCAAAAAUUUAAUUGUCUUGUCACCAACGACACAAACCGCACCUACUUCGGUUGCGCUGGUUGGAAAGCCCUUGCAGAUGCUUACAAGAUGGAAGCUGGGGAGAGAGCCACGUUCUACCUCGACUACGAUUGUGACGAGAUUAUGGUCUACUACAAGCCUGCUGGCAGCGAUGAUGGUUCACUUACUCCGGACUAUGACCCUAACUCCGCCCGCCGAAAAGUCGUAGUUAUCUAGUUGGCAUGCAUGAAAGGUAUCAUGUUAUUAUCACCUCUAUUUAUUUGAACUUGUACAUUCCUAUGUAUGUUACUUUGCCUACUUAAAUGCUAUCAUUGGAUCUAUUUAUAGUUGAUUUAUUGACUGUUCUUUAACUGGAUUAUGCUGUCAUUUUGGCUGAAAUCACUGUUGUACAGCUUUUAUUUCAAAUUUGAAAAUCAAAUUACUGGCGUCGACAAAACAUGGAUGUCACAACUGAUGACUAGUACUGCUGGCGUGGACAACGCGGCACGCCAUUACUGUCCAAAAUAUUGAUGGCCUAGGUGCCAACGCCAUCGCUAAUUUUUAACACUGAUGCCAUAUUGAUGGCAUCGGGUGUCCACGCCACCAAGGCUGUUUUUGGCAUGCCGUAGCUAGGCUUUUCUCCACUAGUGAAGUGACACCGGCCGCUGGGUGUCACCGGCGUGAUGGGACCGCACAUGUCGCCAUGCAUGAGUUCGAGCUGCUUGUCAGCUCUGUAAUUGGCCUUCUGGGGAACGGGGCAUGCCGCUGCUUGCCAGCGAGGCACGCCUCGCAGAGCUCGCCGGUGUGCUCGACGAGAGGGAGGUCGCGGACCAGUCCGCCGCACGCCAUCCGUUGGAUCUCCUCGAAGUGCAGGUGACUAAGGCGGCCAUGCCACUUCCAAGCCUCGCCGACAUGAUGCAGCGACAGACAUGCGGGAGGUACAGGGGUCAAAUCCAAUUUGUACAGGCGAUUUGACGCGCGGUGUACCUUUACCAGGAGCUUGUGCCGUGGAUCGAAGAUCGUCAUGUUCCCGUCGCGGAGACGGAUGUCGCAGCCGAACUCGUCCAUCUGCCCCACGCUCACCACGCUGCUCUUGAGACGUGGGAUGAAGUAGACAUUGGUGAGAGCGCGCUGCAUGCCGCCGUCCACCUUGAACACGAUCGUCCUGCAACCUCAGAUCUGCACCAUCGAGCCGUCGUCGAACCGCAUAGUGCCGAUGAUGUUCUCAUCCAGCUCGGCGAAGACACCGCUGUCCCCGGUCAUAUGGUUCGAGGCACCAGUGUCCAAGAACCAGGUGGUUCUUCGCCUGCUGCUUGUUGAGGAAGACAGGGAGUGAGGUGCUCGCCUCCCCCGUGGCCAGAGUCCCUGCCAUGGUGGCAUUGACGAGGACCGGUGCAGGAGUUUCGAGGCCUGCUGUCAUGACCGCAAGGGCCUCCACCGCGGUGAUCCCCGCCAUCUCCAUCAAGUGAAACGCCGGGUCCGCGUCCUCGUCGGCCUGCGCAAGGUGAGCUUCCUUGCGCUACUUCUUCUGCAUUCACUGGUCCAGUGCCCUUGGAUGCGGUAGUAGCGGCAUGUGUCUUUAUCUUGGCCGCUCUUGUCGACGUAGCCAGCGCCACGUCCGCACUGCGGGCCACCGCGAACGCCACCACAACGCCCACCACGGCCACCGCCAGAUGAUGAUCCGCCACCCCCCUGAAGCGAUCCCUUUCGUACGUCCUAGUCCUCCUCAGUGAGAAGCAGACGGCCGCCGGAAGACUCGGUGGCGUUGUCGGUGAUCUGAUCUUGCACGACACGGAGGCGACCCAUGACCUCGUCCAAAGACAGGGUGCUCACAUCGAGAAGGGUUUCGAUGGCGAUGGCAACCUGCGCGUACUAUGGAGGAACACCACGCAGGAACUUGGCGACAACGCUGGACUCCUGAACAUUGUCACCGAGGGAGCGCAGGUUCGCCACGAGGGUGAAGAUGCGCAUCGAGAAGUCGUCGAUCUUCUCCCUUGAACAGAACGAGAUGCCCUCGAACUCGCGUCGAAGCCACCGUGCGUUCGCCCCGAUCACGCGGGAGGCACCCAUGCGCUGAAACGCGAUCGCCUCCUAGGCCUACUUGGCAGUGGCCUUGGCGCCGAUCGGACUCACCAUGUCCGGCGGGAGAGUUCAUAAGAUCGCCGCCAUGGCCUUGCGUUAGUCAUGGAAAGGUGCGUCACCGGUUUCAACAACAUCCCACCAGCCCGAGGCCUACAGGUUUACCUUCAUGAGCAGAGCCCAUUCUGCGUAGUUGGUGCGCGUCAGCAUGGGGUAGAAUCCGGCGGAGCUCGUCUCCCGGAUCACCUGCUGGUACACCACCACCUCGUCGGCACAGAGAUUCCUGCUCCUGCCCCGGGACGGCGACGCCGCUCUCAUGCGUGGAGGGGUCUGCGAGCCCUGCCGGGCGUUCGAACCGUUGCCGCCGGACGACAUGGUCCCACACACGACUUGAAGCUCUGAUGCCAAGUGUUGUCGGAGAUGCCCGCCGGAGCACCUCCUACCUCUCUCACUCUCGCCCCUUCACUCUUUGAACACAGAUGAAGAAGAACAGAGACAAGUGGUUUUGUGCAGUGCAAGUUCUGCUGCUUUUCUUUUUCCUUGAUCCUUUAUUCAGUGAUCGAGAUUAAUGCCGAGAUGCUCGCAACAACCCCAUCGUGCAUGCGCCAUCCCACGGGCGAAGUCGUGCGGCUGGCUUCCUAACUGUUCAUACGGGACACACAACGAUCGUGCCCUUCGUGCGCUAACGGAAAACUGAAAAAAAAAUCUGAAACUACCGAACUUUCUGAAGAAAAACUAACACCUAUCGACUUGGCUGCCAUAGCAGUGUUAUUUUUGCGCAACUGAAGUAACCAACAAUAAUUCGCAAAAUGCACAACCUUCGACCACCUGUUAGGCAUAUUUUAACAUAUUGGACUUCCAAAUUUGCACUAUGAGGGCAGUACCUAGACAAUAUUCUAGGUGUAGUUUUGUUUAUGACUUUUAGAAUUCUCCCUGUUAUACCAUUUUGUUUGACAUGUUUCUUGUCAGUACAUCACUCCUCAGCUUCCGGUAAACUACGAAAAGAGCAAUAAUAAUGUUAGACUUAUUUUGUAAAAUCAAGAAAUACAUUGUACAUAUUCAUUUUUUACAUUUUCCCGUUAAGGGCAUCUCCAGCCGUUGGCCUCACAGGAGGGGCAAAAAAUCGCCCCCUGGGGCGCACCGGCGCUAAACCGCGCACUGGGGGCGUGAUGCCCCCCAGUUGCGGCCCCCCACGGGUUUUUAAAAUGUUCAAAUUCGGCGCAAACACAACGCAAACACGGGCAAGUUCGUUCAAAUUUAAACAUAUUUUACAAAAAAAGAAAAAAAACUACUGCGGGCUACCCCCGCCGUCUCCCUCGCCGCCCGCCUCGCCGCCCGCCCACGCGGUUCUACAUGCCAAGGAGGCUGUAGAACCGCGUGUAGUCGUCGUCGUCGUCGUCACCCCUGCCUACGCCUCCGUCGUCCCUGCUGCAUCCCUCCCCCGGUUGGCGCGGCGGGUUGGACGGUCCGGGGGCGUCGUCGUCGUCGCUACCGAGGACGACGACACCGUCCUCGUCCUCGCGCCCAUGUUUGCGGGCGGUGAUCUCCUCCAGGGCCCGGCGCUGCCGGAUCAUCUCCUCGCGCAGGUAGUCGUCGCGCGACCACCGCACGGCAUCCUCAUCGGAGAAGCCGCGUUGGGCUAUCUCCUCGUACUUCGGGGGGAGGUUGGACUCCACCUUGGGCUCGACGAGGGCGCCGGAGCUGCGGGUACGCGCGCUGACAGGCGUGUCAUGGGGCUCCGGCUUGACGGGGCGGAGGUGGAGGCAGGGAGAGCCGCCGGACGAGGAGGAGGACACCCCGGUCUCCAUGCGCCUCGACGUCCAGGAGCUUCCCCGGCGGCGUGAGAAGGACGGGGGAGCGGGGUACUCGAGGCGUGGCGUGUUGCCGCCCUCGAUGUACUCGAGGACGGACUCCAACGUGCGCCCGGGCACGCCCCACCACUGACGCCGGCCGGCGGCGUUGAACCUGCCGGAGGGCACGACGCCGUUGGUGGCCUCAAGCUGCUCGUCGUGCCGGCGGCGGAAGUAUGGCUCCCAGAUUGGGCUGUCGGGGACGUACCGGGGCCCCUCCCUUGCCGCACGCGGCAGGGACAAGCGGAUGCGUGCGAUCUCCGCACGCCGCGCCGCGCCGGUAGGUACCGGGGGCACCGGCACGCCGCCGGCGUUGAUCCUCCACGCCCCGGGCACCCGCAUGUCCGGCGGGACCGAGUACUCGGCCUCGAAAAGGAGGCGAGCCUCGUCCUCGUGCAGAUGACGGCGCCCGAAUCCGUUCGCCGCCGCGCCGUCGCCUGGGAAACGCUCGGCCAUGCUUUCUCAACUGGUGACGGCGAGAGGAGGAAAGGGGGAGAAAUGAGCGCGUCGUCGGUGGAUGAUCGGGGUGAGUCUCUCCGGCGCGCUUGCAGUCGGCUUUUAUAGGCGGAGACGCCGCGCGGUAGGCUUGGCCGGCGCGUUAUGCGUGGCGUGAUUGCGUGGCGGCCGAGGGACGCGUCGCCCAGCCUUCACUGCGCCGCCCGUGAGGCAUCAAGGGAGGCUGACCGGCGCGGCAGCGCGCGGCAGCUUUGGCAUUGAUUCGCCACGGGAAACGAGGCGAUGAGGACGACGAAGUGGCGAAAAGAGAGUAGAGUCGCUGACGCGGCGGGCCCGCGGCUCUUCGCGCCAAAAACGAUUCGCCCGGCGCCCCUGAGCGACCCCCGGCGCGCCGGGUUCGGGUUGGGUCUGCCGGCGCCAAUUUCGACCCGAGCCGGCGAAAACUGGGCUCUUCGGGGCACGACUGGGCCGAUUUUUUGGCGCCGGCAGACAAAAAAACGCCUGGGGGGCCUUUUUGGGGGCGCGGCUGGAGAUGCCCUAAGGUUGCCGAAAUUAUCGUCACAAUCUUGCAAUUUUACCAAUGGUGACAGCCAUCUUGUCUAGCAGUGCUAUGCUGCUGCGAUACUGCUCAUUUGUGGGAGCAAUAUUGGUCAACUUUGACCCUCGGGGUGUACCCAUAAAAUAGGACGAACGGUUGCAUUUUAUUACUCUCACGGGUGUUGCAGCUGCCUGUUUUCAUCUGAAUAUUUGUUCAUGCGAAAAUAAAUAUCUUGAAUAAUCGCCUAAACCUAUGUUGCUUCGUUGGUGCCCAUGGUAAGGAAUUGAAUGAGGGUCUGGCCAUGGUUGUUGUUCUUAUUUUAUAUUUUGUGCAAGAUAAGAGAGUGUUAUAAAACUAUAUUUAUCUACUAGGUAAAUCAAACUAAACAUACAUUUACUUUUUAUUUAUCUGCGCCAUACGGAAAUGUUGUGGAAUGAACCAAGAUUGUUAUAGAUCCACUACGGUUGCAAAAUAGAUACUGGAUGAUAUUUAUUUUUGAAAUAUUUUGUUUUGAGAGAAAUUUGUAAUAACACUAAAGUACUUCACAAAAAUCACAACAGUAGCCAACAACAGUAUACUAUGAUCACACAAUUUUUAAAACUGAUAAUAAUUCAUGCGGUGAGCAUCCAGUAAGCUUGCAUCUUUGUCCAUCACUAGGUUACCAUCUUCAUGUUUGGACUUAACACCAAUAUCACUCAUGCAACAACUCUUGGUGCAAUCAAUUUCUCCCUUAACUGCAUAUAAAUAAAUUAUCAAAAUAUUCAGAAAUCUAGAACACGCAUACAUAUUUAACAGUGUCAUCUGACAUAAAUGGUAACAAUCAGUAAUUAUGAAUUUCUUGUACUUCUGAUUUUUACAAGAAACAUAAUGGAUAGUUCAGAAGUUGCCUAAAUCUGAGAGGAUAUUAAAUUUCACUCGAGCCCUGCAUUCUGAAAAAGUUCAGGAGCAGAUAAUGAAAGCUCUUAAUGAUUAGUAAAAUUGUUGUUCAGCGGUGCUCAAUCCCCUUUUUCCGUUAUUUGGAGCCAAUUAAGUAACACACAAUGUGUUUCAUGCUUGGAGAACAGUAAAUAUAAUUUCUAAUUGCUUCAUCCUUUACAUAAUAAAGUUACUUCACAAAUUAGUGUAAAAAGAAUUGUAACUCCAUCAUACUGAAAUCUGCUACACACGGACGUUGUAAAGCAUCUUCACUGAAAAUUUAAACAUGUAUUUGUAGUGCGUAGAAUGACAUCAAUUGCAAGAUCAUGUGUAGGUCCCAGCGUACCUUCUAUAGAAAAUUUUAUAUUAAAACAAAGAAAUCAAAAACUUACAUUUUUGUGAUUCGAAGACCCAUUAAUCCAUUUGACUACCUGCAUAGUUGUUCAGAUAAAACAAAAUAAUGUUAAAAUGUUACAUAGACGCACACACAUGGUACAUGUGUUAGUAAAAAAAUUGCAGCAAUGCUCUUGCCAAGGAAAGACACACAUGAACGGAGGUGAAGGGAGCCGAGAGAAACAUCACAGCGACGGGGCACGGUGGCAGCAAGGAUGAUGAGAUCAGAUUAGGGUAGCAGAGGGAGCUAACAGUGAUCGUGAAGGUGGCUGAUAGACAUUGGCCCUUGUGAAGCAAUUAGUCCAACAGUUUCGGGUGAAAAUGCAUCCCGAAUUAAAAGAACAUGGAUGUGAAUGGUCUUUAUGUUACCCCCGUUGAAACUAAACGGUAAGAUGGGGCUAAUGCUGCUCCCCCUAGUAGUAAAAUGUACCGUAAAAAGGCUCUGUACAAAAGAUUUUUGUGAUGGAACGGGGUGCAAGGGUACAGGAAAAAUGGUGAAAUUUUGAAAGGGACAAUGAAACGAAAACACCCAUGCAUGCAAAUAUAGAGAACAGUACGUACAUGUGCUUCGCAAAGUUUUCUUAUUCCUCCAUAGUUAGCCCACCUCCACCUGAUGUGCCGGCUGUUUCAGAACUAGUGUUGCCCCAGUUGAGAAAAACACUGUCAAGGUUUUUAGGCUGCACUGCGCUGGUCUGGCCAGCAGAAGCAUCUCCACGCAUUCCAUGUUGUACUGCUGGUGCUAGGUUGGACGACAAUGAUGCACUUACCAUGCUUCCACUUGUUAUAACUCCACCACGACCCUCAUUACCAUUACCAUAACUAUUAUCACUAGAAUUACCGUGAGGAUAACCAUAAGAUUUAUUAUUGCCAUUACCAUAAUGAUGAUCAUAAUCAUUAGCACUGAGAGUAGCAUAAUGAUGAUCAUAACCAUUUAUGUCGCCAAUGGCAUUACCAUGAUGAUAACCAUGACCAUAAGCAGCACCUGCACCAAGAUUAGUUGUGUGGUUCCCAUUUCCAAGAAUGACAUAGUCAACUUGUGAUGCACCACCGCUUAGCCAACUGGUUUGGUUAAUAUCUCUUGCUCCCUGGGACCUCAUAUGGAAUCUGUAACUUCCCUCACUUUCUUGAGAUUCCGAAGAGUUCUUGGAAGUAUUAUUAGAAUGUGGUGGCCUAGAGCUUGGCAUGGUUGAUAGCCCACCCUUACGGCAG